UUUGGUCAGGCAACAGGAAACCUUCCCAUUGGUGGUUCUGAGUGCCUUAUCAACAGUUUUUAAUCUUUAUUAGCUUCCUAUUUAAACCCCAGCCAUAAACACCAUAACCAUGAACAGUUUCAGUGUUCGGAAUAUAUUAAUGUCCUCAAAAUUGAUGGCUAUCUACAAUUUUGGGCCGUGUCCAAGGCCGUAAACUCCUGUGUGUUAUGAGAACCAGAAGAGGCAGGGGGGACUGUGAGCAGGCUGAGUGUAUCCACCUCAGGAGAAUUAGAGUUGGGGGCCUUCCCCUCCCCCGCUUUUAUAUAUAUUGAUUCUCAGGGGUUUUUUAUUUGUUUGUUUGUUUUUGUUUUUGUUUUUUGUUGAAGAUGCCUCUGAGACAGGGACAUGGGCGGCGCUUGGUGAGAGAGACUCUAAAUGCUGUCCUAUUCAUUUUGGUCCCAGAGGGUCUCGUACUGUCAGGGCUGUGGGACAAUUAGCUUCUGAAAUGGCACAUUCUCCUUUCUGCUCACGGGGCUUGAGAGGCCCACAUAUCUUCUUUGAAACCCACAAAGCGAUAAAUAAAUGAAGGUGACAUUUUGCCCAUGGAGUUAAGGGGGAGCCUCUUCAGUUACCCUGUCUAAGGGUUACAUAGUACUCGGUAACAAUUCACCCUGGUGCUGAACUUAAAACAACAAACAUUCAUUAUCACACAGUCUCUGUGAGGCAAACAUUCAGGAGGGAUCUAGCCGGCUGUCUAGGCUUCGAGUGCUGGCCAGGGAAUGCUCUCCUAAGACUACUCCCAUGCAUGCUGUCAAGAGGUUGCAGUUUCUUGGCACGUGAGACACUGCCACUCAGCUUCCUCAGUGUGUGUGACACAAAGACUGGCCUCUCCCAAAGCGAGUGAGCCAGAACAAACCAAGCAGAAGCCACUGGGUCCCUUAUGACCUUAUCUUGGGAGUCUUGCAUUGCUAUUUGCAUAAUAUUCUAAUUAUUUAUAGAAUUCAGCUAUAUAUCACAGUGAACAACGUGAACUCCAGAGAGUGACUCACCAGGAGCAAUUGAGGGUUGGCGACCACAAGUCAGAACAAAGACGAUGAACUGAAGUGCGGCUUUGAAAUCUGCAUGGCUUUGAAUAUUUCCUUAUGUCCCCUCCGCACAGGUCGGUGCCUUUUAUCUGUUCAAGAUCACGUGACCGGCUGAGUGUAGAAUUGACUUUAAAUAUCUACUCUUCUGAAGAGAGAGUUCUGAGCACAGACCUGGUGUGUACCACCUAGUUUGAGCCUACGUUUCUUGCACAAGGGAAAUAAUAACAGUUAACUUUACAGGCUUCUUGUAGCUGCAACCCAAAAGGCCGCAUAAUAGAAUAUAAGAUGUCCUCCUAGAAGCAUUUUUGAAGUUUGUUGUAUUCAUGAGUUCCUGAAAUUUCAUGAUGCUGUCUGUGUUGGGCAAGUGUGCCUAUGCGGCAUGUGCAUGUGGUGCCUGCAGAAUCCAGAAGGAUCCAGAUCCCCUGGAACUGGAGUUACAGACGGUUGUGAGCUGCCCUGUAGGUGCCAGGAGUGGAACCGGGGUCCUAUGGAGGAGCAUUCAGAAUCGUAACCACUGAUCCAUUUCUCCAGCCCCAAUGCUUACUGAAUUUUAAAGGGAACUGCGUUGAUUCUAAUGAACUCUGGAAUCCACCAAGUUGGCACUCCUUCAUCUGACACUGUGAUGUGAGACGAUUGUCCCUUGGGAGUUUCAGUUCCAAUUGAGGAGAUUAGUCCCUGGACGCUGCAUGUAGCUUGGCUCUCCUCAGACCCCCUGAGCUCCACAUAUUAAUAGUGCGCCUCCCAGCCUGUUAGUACUAUUGGGAAAUAGUGGGGCUUUGGGGAGGUAGGGCCAUUGGAGUGAACUUUUGAAGGGGAUUAGGGGACUAGUCUUUACUCCCAACAACUAUGGGGUGAGCAUUUUCUUUCACUGGAAGGUUCUGUUAUGACGCACUGCUUCGCUACAGAGCACAACAACACAGAGACCAAAUAAACUUAUUAUCUUCUAAGUCA
rnacentral:sRNA from 1 species